GUGGGGAAUCUUAGACAAUGGGCGCAAGCCUGAUCUAGCCAUGCCGCGUGAGUGAUGAAGGCCCUAGGGUUGUAAAGCUCUUUCAGCUGGGAAGAUAAUGACGGUACCAGCAGAAGAAGCCCCGGCUAACUCCGUGCCAGCAGCCGCGGUAAUACGGAGGGGGCUAGCGUUGUUCGGAAUUACUGGGCGUAAAGCGCGCGUAGGCGGACUGAAAAGUUGGGGGUGAAAUCCCGGGGCUCAACCUCGGAACUGCCUUCAAAAUUCCUGGUCUGGAGUUCGAGAGAGGUAAGUGGAAUUCAGAGUGUAGAGGUGAAAUUCGUAGAUAUUCGGAGGAACACCAGUGGCGAAGGCGGCUCACUGGCUCGAUACUGACGCUGAGGUGCGAAAGCGUGGGGAGCAAACAGGAUUAGAUACCCGGGUUAGUCC
rnacentral:rRNA from 1 species